UGCUUGGUGGAUAUCGGGAGCUUUCUCCGAUAUCGGUGUUUAGAGUUUAGUCGGCUUUGAUCUAGGCUUCGUUGUGUCGGUCUAGAUUAUCUUUUACUUUGGAUUUUGUUAUGAUUGGAGACUUACCCGUAUGUUGGGAUUUUUUGAGAUUCAUCUAUGUUGAUGUAAUAAUUGAUUCAUGACAUGUAUAUGUUGAGUACUCUGGUUUAUAUUCCGCUGCGAUUGUUGAAGUUUAUAUACAUGUUUAUUGGUUUUGAAUUUUUGUAUGAUGGCGUAGCCUCUAUUUCUUGAAUAAAUGUAUUAUUCGCAUGUUUAAUUGCUUUAAUAGAAAUAGGAGUGUUACAAUAUCCAAUGGGGAUGAGAAAUUGAAUCUCAUCCCCGUCUCCAAUGGGUUCGGGUAAUCCCGCCUCAUCCCCUUCCCCGCAGUGAAUCAAUUUUUUUUUAAUAGAAUAUAAUAUAGCUAUAAAUAGUACAAAAUUCAUGGUGACAUCAUUAGAGACAUCCAUUGCAUGAAUAGAGGCGACUAAUUCAUUUUUGGGAAGUUGUGUUGAACUGGAUGGAAUAUUAGUAGACUAAUUACUUAGACACCCACUCUUACUCUUUCCGGUUGGACAUGAUAACUUGGAUUGUGAAACUGGUGCAUCUGAAUGCAAAAAUUUUAAAUUAUCAAAGAAAGACGGUGAUCACUUGAUUGACCGUUCAAAAUGAUCAUCUUGAGUAGAUUAUCCCUCUUUAGUGAACCUUUGUAUAUAUUUUUUUUGGAGUUGGACACAUUGAGUUUUUUUUUGGGAAAGCAAAUUGACGAAAUUGCAUUUGCAUAUGUACCUUCAUAUUGUAAUCAUAAACGUUAAAUUGGACAUGCAGAGUAUAAUCAUGUGUUAAAAUUCAUAAAAAAAAAAACCAGAAUUUGGUUAUUUCAAAUUUGAGUAAACCACCAAAUUGGUUCAUGUCUUUGUACCAAAUUUUCAAAUUGACCUCUAACUCUAUUAAUAACUCAAAAUGGUCACUUUCUUUGUCAAACGUUUCUCAAAUUGGUCCCUGCCUCUAUUAGUUGUUUUGCAUUUUAAGCCAUUAACGUACCAAAUAAGAUCCAAAAGGCAUUAUUCCAUAAACCAGUAAAUAAUAUCCAAAACACGUUGAAUCGAUAACACUCAAAAUACAAAACAAUUAAUAAAGGCAGAGACCAAUCUAAGAAACAUUUGACAAAGACAGAGACCAUUUUGAAUUAUUAAUAGAGUCAGGGACCAAAUUGAAAAUUUGGUACAAAGACAGUGACCAAUUUGAUGGUUUACUCAUUUCAAAUUCUAUAAUCUGAAAAACCGCAUAACAAAAACAUAUGAGAAACGAAGUCUUCACUUAUUGGACUUCAUUUGGACAUCUUUAAUUUUAGAUAUGAUUUAAAUACCACAUCAAAUCUAAGUUGAUUUGACAAUAAAUCUCAGCACUGCGAUAAACUAAAGAAAGAAAACAAAACUACAUAUGAAAAAUUUCUAAUUAGUAACGACAACAUACAUCUUAAUAAAUUCAAAAAAUAAAAAUAAAUAAACUAUAUCAAAUAAAUCUCAAAAUUGACCAAUGAGUAAAGACAAUUAAAAUAAGUAAAGACAAAAACAAUAAAAAAAAAUACACAUAUGAGGGAUAAUUAUCAAGAUUUUCAAUUAAUACAUAAAGAUAUUAUCAUCUUAUAUUAUUCCUAAAACAAAUUUUAUUACCAUUAUACACUUAUAUUUACUAUUUUGUGAUUUUCGUUGUAUUUCUUUACCAUAUUACAGAUGCAGAGUAUCCAUUGGUAAUGAAUAACUAAUCUCAACACGAAAAUCUUAUUGGUCAUCUUUAAUAGAGUCUCCCUUUCUCAUAUGUAACCCUGAAAUUUGAACAUGCUACUUUAUUUCAGACAUGUGAGUCUAGUUACAGCCAUACCAACAUAUAUAAUGUUGGGUGUCCUCUCCCUAUUACGAAAGU
rnacentral:lncRNA from 1 species